rnacentral:rRNA from 1 species
UACGAAGGGGGCUAGCGUUGCUCGGAAUCACUGGGCGUAAAGGGUGCGUAGGCGGGUCUUUAAGUCAGGGGUGAAAUCCUGGAGCUCAACUCCAGAACUGCCUUUGAUACUGGAAGACUCGAGUCCGGGAGAGGUGAGUGGAACUGCGAGUGUAGAGGUGAAAUUCGUAGAUAUUCGCAAGAACACCAGUGGCGAAGGCGGCUCACUGGCCCGGUACUGACGCUGAGGUGCGAAAGCGUGGGGAGCAAACAGG